UUUGCCUCUCUUCCUUGCCUUUGUAUCUGGAGAGAUAAUGCAGCAUCUUCCAUGUAAUCGGCAUCAAUAGACAAUAAGCUUAAUCAAAUUGACUCAAGAUGGGCAGUUGUCUCCUCUGAGGCUCCCUGACUGGAUUAGACUUGCAGUAAGGAAAUGCUAAAACAUUGACAGUAUCUGGACAUCAUGGCACACACCUUUAAUCCCAGCACUCAAGAGGCAGAGGGCUGUUGAAGAGGGAGAGAUGCUGCCUCAGCAGAUCUUUGUCUCCAUGGCUGAGACAAGGAUGUAUUACCAAACUCUGGGCCACAGUGGAGGCUUUAGCUUGUCUCACCACCUCUUUGCCCUUCUAACACAGUGAAGAGAGUGCUGAAAAGCUGGGGCCUCUCAGGAAGCUGUCAAGAAAGAAAUCAGUUACCUGGGGAAAUGAGCCUCAAGCCCACAAGGUUGCUGAAGUGGUCGAUGGUUGAAAUCAAUUGAGUCUUUAAUUGCACCCCACGCUACAGCAUCUGUUUGCAUCACUUCUCUGAAGGUGGAAAGAAGCUGACUUAAGUCGUUUCACAGAAAUUGCUUAAUAAUUAAUUCACCUCCUCAGAGGUGGCCAGCACACUCAGUGGGUGAGACAGACUCUGACUAAGGAUAACAAAAUUGAAUUACACAUCGCUGUUUUGUGUAAUCUUGACUUAAUCCCUUGGCUCAUCUGGUGGUUUCUCUGCAGAAUAGAACUAGCAGUCAUGACAAAAUCUCCAUCUUGAAUUUGGGUUCUAUCAGUGCUUGGAAAAGGUUACAUGUAUAAUGUCGAGUACAUUCCCCUUUUCGGGCCUAGACAUGUUAGCUCAUUAUUUAGCUGAAAAAUUUUGAAGAUUAAUUAAUGACUGUACAGAUGGUAGGGACAAUGCUGGUUCUUUGUUUCACUGUGACUUCACCAUUGUGACUUGGCUCUAACAGAUCUGCAUGUCUUCUUCAAUAAACUGUGUGAACUGA